UACGUAGGGUGCGAGCGUUGUCCGGAAUUAUUGGGCGUAAAGGGCUCGUAGGCGGUUUGUCGCGUCGGGAGUGAAAUCCACUGGCUUAACUGGUGGCUUGCUUUCGAUACGGGCAGACUGGAGGUAUGCAGGGGAGAACGGAAUUCCUGGUGUAGCGGUGAAAUGCGCAGAUAUCAGGAGGAACACCGGUGGCGAAGGCGGGUCUCUGGGCCGAUAUCGACGCUGAGGAGCGAAAGCGUGGGGAGCGAACAGG
rnacentral:rRNA from 1 species